rnacentral:tRNA from 1 species
ACCACCAGUAGUCCAGCGGCCCAAGACGCCGGGUACCGCGGGGUUCGAGUCCCCCGAGGCUGCGUGCACGCACCUCAAACCCGCGUGAGCGGGAACGGCCCCGGCGCGGUAACCCCGGUUCGAAUCCGGGCGGUGGACAACCA